AAGCUAGCUUUUGGGGUUGAGUUAGGCCCAAAGUCCAUUCUUUUCAUGGUAUCAGAGCCAUGCCCAUCCCAAUUAUUGUUACCGAUGUUGGGCCCCCAUUUAUGUUGUCCACGCUCCAGAGAUCUGGGCGUGAGUGGGGGUGUUGAGUUGUCCCACAUCGGAGGGAUUUGAAGUCCUUGGUCUCCUAAUAUGGCUUGGGCAAUCCUCACCUCAUAAGCUAGCUUUUGGGGUUGAGUUAGGCCC
rnacentral:lncRNA from 1 species